rnacentral:rRNA from 1 species
UCUCAGUUCGGAUUGGGGUCUGCAACUCGACCCCAUGAAGUCGGAGUCGCUAGUAAUCGCAGAUCAGCAACGCUGCGGUGAAUACGUUCCCGGGCCUUGUACACACCGCCCGUCACGUCAUGAAAGUCGGUAACACCCGAAGCCAGUGGCCUAACCCUUGGGAGGGAGCUGUCGAAGGUGGGAUCGGCGAUUGGGACGAAGUCGUAACAAGGUAGCCGUACCGGAAGGUGCGGCUGGAUCACCUCCUUUCUAAGGAG